UGGGUGACUUACAAACAUCAAAAAUUUAUUUCUCACAGUUCUGGAGGCUGAGAAGUUCAAGAUCAAGGGGCUGGUAGAUUCGGUGUCUGGUGGGAGCCUGCUACCUGCUUCAUAGACAGACAGCUGGUCCUCAUCUGGCAGAGAGCAGAAAGCCAGAGCAAGCUCUCCUGUCUCUUCUUCCAAGGGCACUAAUCUCAUCCAUGAGAGCUCCACACUCAUGACCCAAUUAUCUCCCAAAGGCUCCACCUCCUACACCAUCACAUGGGGCAUUAGAAUUUCAACAUGUGGCUCUGGGGAGGGGGAACACAUUUAGUCCACAACAGCAGGGUUUCCCACCAUGUGCUGCGGCAAUGACUGAUGGUAUACCUGAGGUAAUUUUUAGGGAUGCCCAGGUGAAACAUUUAAAAAAUUUUAAUCGUCAUGUACUUAAUUUAUAUAUAUUUGAAAAUAUAUAUAGAAGCACAUUAAACAGUGACUUCAACCAGUAUUAUUGCUGAGGAUGAAUCUAAAUUAAAAUAAAAAAGUGAAUCAUUUAAAGAAAAAUGUUAGAAAAAAAAAUAUGGGUGGUACUAGGAUGUGCAAGAAUCCUGAAGGUGGUUGAUGAGGGAGGGAAGUUUGGGGCAAUACUGCUUAAAACAUGUUACCUCCUUCCCUCUCUUCUCAUGCUGCACUGCGGGCCUAGUCUGUUACUCCAGCACUAUGCUUUCGUGAUCUUUCUGGCUGGAACCCCGUCUCUCUUGCCCUUUGAAUCCACCACUCCUCUGCCUCAGCACCUGGCGCAGUGCUCAGCACAGAGUAGGAAGUUCAGCUGGGACCCUCAGUCUCUCUGCUUGUCACAUGUCUGU